rnacentral:rRNA from 1 species
UACGUAGGGUGCAAGCGUUGUCCGGAAUUAUUGGGCGUAAAGAGCUCGUAGGCGGCUUGUCACGUCGGCUGUGAAAACCCGGGGCUCAACCCCGGGCCUGCAGUCGAUACGGGCAAGCUAGAGUUCGGCAGGGGAGACUGGAAUUCCUGGUGUAGCGGUGGAAUGCGCAGAUAUCAGGAGGAACACCGGUGGCGAAGGCGGGUCUCUGGGCAGUAACUGACGCUGAGGAGCGAAAGCGUGGGGAGCGAACAGG